GCGGGGGUUGCCGAGCCUGGUCAAAGGCGGUGGACUCAAGAUCCACUCCCGCAGGGGUUCGAGGGUUCAAAUCCCUCCCCCCGCACCA
rnacentral:tRNA from 2 species